GUUGAAACACCGGUUCCCUUACGAUCCCCGAAGUUAAGCAACGUUGAACUUGGUCACUACCUAGAUGGGUGACCGCUUGGGAAUACCAGGUGCUGUAAG
rnacentral:rRNA from 1 species